rnacentral:rRNA from 1 species
AGGACGAACGCUGGCGGCGUGCUUAACACAUGCAAGUCGAGCGGUAAGGCCCUUCGGGGUACACGAGCGGCGAACGGGUGAGUAACACGUGGGUGAUCUGCCCUGCACUCUGGGAUAAGCCUGGGAAACUGGGUCUAAUACCGGAUAUGACCUCUGGUUGCAUGACCGGGGGUGGAAAGAUUUAUCGGUGCAGGAUGGGCCCGCGGCCUAUCAGCUUGUUGGUGGGGUAAUGGCCUACCAAGGCGACGACGGGUAGCCGGCCUGAGAGGGCGACCGGCCACACUGGGACUGAGAAACGGCCCAGACUCCUACGGGAGGCAGCAGUGGGGAAUAUUGCACAAUGGGCGGAAGCCUGAUGCAGCGACGCCGCGUGAGGGAUGACGGCCUUCGGGUUGUAAACCUCUUUCGACAGGGACGAAGCGCAAGUGACGGUACCUGUAGAAGAAGCACCGGCCAACUACGUGCCAGCAGCCGCGGUAAUACGUAGGGUGCGAGCGUUGUCCGGAAUUACUGGGCGUAAAGAGCUUCUAGGUUGGCUAAUCGCGUCGAUCGUGAAAACUUGGGGCUCAACCCCAAGCUUGCGUCGAUACGGGCAGGCUUGAGUCUUUCGGAGACUGGAAUUCCUGGUGUAGCGGUGAAAUGCUCAUAUCUCAGGAGGAACUCGCGGUACGCCAAGGGGGGG